GGCGUAGCUGAGCGGUCCGCCUUUGGGUGAGAACUGUUCGGCCGCGCCUUUCCUUGUGGGGAACCAGUAUGCGCUUCGCGGUGUGUGCUGGCAAUCCACAACUUUUACUUUGAAAAAAUUAGAGUGUUUAAAGCAGGCUCGCGCUUGAAUACAUUAGCAUGGAAUAAUGAAAUAGGACGU
rnacentral:rRNA from 1 species